rnacentral:rRNA from 1 species
GUCUGUUGUAAACGGCGGCGUUAACGUGAGCGUCCUAAGGUAGCGCGAUAAUUUGCUUUUCAAUUGAAGGAUGGUAUGAAAGGGUUAACGAAGAAGGUGCUGUGUCUAAAAAUUCAAUUUAAACUAACUUUAAGGUGAAGAGGCCUUUAUGUAAAAGAAGGACGACAAGACCCUAUGAAGCUUUAUCUUAAUUGGAGCUCUCAGGCUCUUAUACGAUUUUGAUGGGAGAUCAGUAGAAAGAAGUCUUCUACUAUCAUAUUAAUCUUACUAGUAUUUCCUAACUUUAUAUGUGUGGCUAGCUACUCUAGGGAUAACAGCGCAAUUUCUCCCGAAAGAUGGUAUUGGAGGGGAAGAUUGCGACCUCGAUGUUGGCUUUAGAUAUCCUAGAGGCGUAGAAGCUUCU